rnacentral:tRNA from 1 species
GCCACCUUAGCUCAGCCCGGUAGAGCAACGGUUUCGUAAACCGUAGGUCGCUGGUUCAAAUCCAGUAGGUGGCU